UGCUCUCUGUACAUCUUCUUCCUUGAUCUUAACUGAUGAUACCUAGACUUCAGAUCUAUCUUGGAAAGGCAACUAGCUCCUGCUAGCUGGCUUAAAAUAGAUCGUCGAUCCACGGUAACAACUACCUGAUCUGGGUAGUGACUUUGUUCAACGACUUGUAGUCGAUACAAAGUCCUAGGGAUCCAUCCUUCAUCCUUAUAACAACACUGGAACACCCCAAGGUGAAGUGCUCAGUCAGAUGGAAACCCUUAACUACCAACUUUUACCACUGCUCUUAUAACUCUUUAAACUCUGAUGAUACCAUCCUGUGGGGAGGGAUAGAGUUUGGUCCAAUUCCAUGCAUUACUUCUAUUUUGAACUCUAUCUCCCUGACAGGUGAUAGUCCUGGGAACUCAUCUGGGGAAACAUCUAAAACUCUCUCUAACAACGGGCACUGAGGCGGGCUCCCUGACCUGACUGCUAAACUCUCUCUGAAGAGCUAGAACCCCUGACAACUUUUCCUGAAC
rnacentral:lncRNA from 1 species